GUGUCAUUAACACUACGUUUAAUGCAUUUAAACAUUCCCCACGCUCGUUGCAGACAGUCUCACUUCUUAACAGCUGUUGUAUUUAUUUUUAUUUUUUGUGAAUACAUUUAGUAAAAGUAUUUUUGCUUCCACUGACAGACACUGAGGGGGUCACGGUGGCUUAGUGGUUAGCACGUUCGCCUCACACCUCCAGGGUUGGGGGUUCGAUUCCCGCCUCCACCUUGUGUGUGUGGAGUUUGCAUGUUCUCCCUGUGCCUCGGGGGUUUCCUCCGGGUACUCCGGUUUCCUCCCCCGGUCCAAAGACAUGCAUGGUAGGUUGAUUGGCAUCUCUGGAAAAUUGUCCGUAGUGUGUGAUUGCAUGAGUGAAUGAGAGUGUGUGUGUGUGUGCCCUGCGAUGGGUUGGCACUCCGUCCAGGGUGUAUCCUGCCUUGAUGCCCGAUGAUGCCCGAGAUAGGCACAGGCUCCCCGUGACCCGAGGUAGUUCGGAUAAGCGGUAGAAGAUGAAUGAAUGAAUGACAGACAACGGAUGUAGCUAGAGACGAGCCGGAGAGAUCAGAAGAAAAGCAGCAGGCUGCUGUCUCCAAGUCUCGAAGGCAAGUCAAUACCACAGAUGGACAUAAGUGUCCCAUUUGUGGUCAAAUGUAUACUGGUAUUACCCAGCACCUGAAGUUCACCGAAGGGGUUACGAAUAGGAUCGAACUGGAUCUUUUGGGCAAACUUGCUCACCGACGCUUUACUGCCAAUUUGGACUGCCCGGUCCGUUUGUGUAACGCUAAACACAUGACCAGACUAGACAAGCACCUGCAAAAUAUCCACAAACUUGAGCAAAGCUCCCAAUGAGCAUGCCAUCUCAGAUAUGCCUUCUCCCUUUGGAAGCAAACCUAACCAAUUGGCUAGGAUCCAAAGAAAACGUGCUCUGCUGAGGACACCUUCACCUGGCUGCAGGAACUGCCAUCUUUUGUUUGCUGAACUUAAAGUGGUCAAGCAGCUGCUCCAGUGUGAAGUUGAAAGAAAUCAUGAGCUCAGGCAUCUACAUGCUUCAGCAAAUCAGGCAAAUCUAGUUAAAUAUAAACGAAGAAAAAGCUUUUCGCCCAGUAAAGCCCCUCAGUAUGUAAGACUAGUUGAAGAGUUUAGGGGCCCAUAUACGAGGUGUGAAUCCAAGCAGGAAAAUACAAGAAAAUGCCAAGCAGCGAGCCACUCAUGUGAUCCAUUUUCUGGAAUUUAUGGCAGACUCUAGAAUUCCAAAUGUCGAUCUACUUUUCCUGAAAAACCAUAGUAGAGUCCGCAAUUUUGUGGCACACCUCCAAGAGAAAGGCUUUAAACCAACAUCUCAGAGACUGUACUUGAUGGAUGUUGUGGCUUUCCUUAAAUACAUUUUAAACAUGUCACUCUGCAUUUUUUCAAAUUUGGAUCUAAAUAUUGUCUUUUUUUCUGUAAACAGUUGGUAAGCAUGUCUUCUGAAUGUAACACAGGCAGAUUCUGAAGAGAAGACGGAGCAUAGAAACUACCAACUGCGCAAGAAAAAUAAAUCUGUGCAGUCAAAGCAAGAAACACCAGUGAGCUCCACUGGAGAUGAAGAGUCGGAUGAAUGGAAACCCACUCAGGACUCUUCGGAGGAUGAUUCAGAAGUGUCUGAGGAGAGAGACAAGAAAGUGUUAUUAGCCCCUUUCUUCAAAGACAGAAACAGAUUGAGAUCUCAUCUGAAUGCAACAAUUUAGAAGAGAUAGAGAAGAAACCAAUACGGAGGAUAACAAAUGUGGCCAAAAAAAAAAAAAGAGUGAAAAGGUUGGUGAGCUCAAGUAAAGAGGCUGUGUCAGGUGUUGGGAAAUCCACAUCGGCGUAUCCAGUGUGACUCAGGAGAGGAGAAAUGGUUAGGAAGGAGGCAGAGAACAGCCCUGUUCAGCAAAGGGAGGUGAGUUUUUAUAAGUCGAAGUGAGUCAUUUUGAAUACGUCAGUAAAAGAAAGCCUGCAAAUUAGGCGUUACAGUCC